UACAGGAGGGUGCGAGCGUUAAUCGGAAUUACUGGGCGUAAAGCGUGCGUAGACGGUUAUUUAAGUCGGGUGUGAAAGCCCCGGCUCAACCUGGGAAUUGCAUUUGAGACUGCGUAGCUAGGGUGCGGAAGGAGGGAAGCGGAAUUUCCGGUGUAGCGGUGAAAUGCGCGAUAUCAGGAGGAACACCGGUGGCGAAGGCGGCAUCCUGGACCGGUAUUGACGCUGAGGCGCGAAAGCCAGGGAGCAAACGGG
rnacentral:rRNA from 1 species